UGUCCUGGGUGGUGGUCCAAACAGAGGAUCUGAUCCAUUGUCCUGGGUGGUGGUCCAUACAGAGGAUCUGAUCCAUUGUCCUGGGUGGUGGUCCAUACAGAGGAUCUGAUCUAUUGUCCUGGGUGGUGGUCCAUACAGAGGAUCUGAUCCAUUGUCCUGGGUGGUGGUCCAUACAGAGGAUCUGAUCUAUUGUCCUGGGUGGUGGUCCAUACAGAGGAUCUGAUCCAUUGUCCUGGGUGGUGGUCCAUACAGAGGAUCUGAUCUAUUGUCCUGGGUGGUGGUCCAUACAGAGGAUCUGAUCCAUUGUCCUGGGUGGUGGUCUGAACAGAGGAUCUGAUCUAUUGUCCUGGGUGGUGGUCCAAACAGAGGAUCUGAUCUAUUGUCCUGGGUGGUGGUCUGAACAGAGGAUCUGAUCUAUUGUCCUGGGUGGUGGUCCAAACAGAGGAUCUGAUCUAUUGUCCUGGGUGGUGGUCCAAACAGAGGAUCUGAUCCAUUGUCCUGGGUGGUGGUCCAUACAGAGGAUCUGAUCUAUUGUCCUGGGUGGUGGUCCAUACAGAGGAUCUGAUCCAUUGUCCUGGGUGGUGGUCCAAACAGAGGAUCUGAUCCAUUGUCCUGGGUGGUGGUCCAAACAGAGGAUCUGAUCCAUUGUCCUGGGUGGUGGUCCGAACAGAGGAUCUGAUCUAUUGUCCUGGGUGGUGGUCCAAACAGAGGAUCUGAUCUAUUGUCCUGGGUGGUGGUCUGAACAGAGGAUCUGAUCUAUUGUCCUGGGUGGUGGUCCAAACAGAGGAUCUGAUCUAUUGUCCUGGGUGGUGGUCCAUACAGAGGAUCUGAUCUAUUGUCCUGGGUGGUGGUCCAAACAGAGGAUCUGAUCUAUUGUCCUGGGUGGUGGUCCAUACAGAGGAUCUGAUCUAUUGUCCUGGGUGGUGGUCCAAACAGAGGAUCUGAUCUAUUGUCCUGGGUGGUGGUCCAUACAGAGGAUCUGAUCCAUUGUCCUGGGUGGUGGUCCAUACAGAGGAUCUGAUCUAUUGUCCUGGGUGGUGGUCCAUACAGAGGAUCUGAUCUAUUGUCCUGGGUGGUGGUCUGAACAGAGGAUCUGAUCUAUUGUCCUGGGUGGUGGUCCAUACAGAGGAUCUGAUCUAUUGUCCUGGGUGGUGGUCCAUACAGAGGAUCUGAUCCAUUGUCCUGGGUGGUGGUCUGAACAGAGGAUCUGAUCUAUUGUCCUGGGUGGUGGUCCAUACAGAGGAUCUGAUCUAUUGUCCUGGGUGGUGGUCCAUACAGAGGAUCUGAUCCAUUGUCCUGGGUGGUGGUCUGAACAGAGGAUCUGAUCCAUUGUCCUGGGUGGUGGUCUGAACAGAGGAUCUGAUCCAUUGUCCUGGGUGGUGGUCUGAACAGAGGAUCUGAUCCAUUGUCCUGGGUGGUGGUCCAAACAGAGGAUCUGAUCUAUUGUCCUGGGUGGUGGUCCAUACAGAGGAUCUGAUCUAUUGUCCUGGGUGGUGGUCCAUACAGAGGAUCUGAUCUAUUGUCCUGGGUGGUGGUCCAAACAGAGGAUCUGAUCUAUUGUCCUGGGUGGUGGUCCAUACAGAGGAUCUGAUCCAUUGUCCUGGGUGGUGGUCCAUACAGAGGAUCUGAUCCAUUGUCCUGGGUGGUGGUCCAUACAGAGGAUCUGAUCUAUUAUCCUGGGUGGUGGUCCAUACAGAGGAUCUGAUCCAUUGUCCUGGGUGGUGGUCCAUACAGAGGAUCUGAUCCAUUGUCCUGGGUGGUGGUCCAUACAGAGGAUCUGAUCCAUUGUCCUGGGUGGUGGUCCAUACAGAGGAUCUGAUCUAUUGUCCUGGGUGGUGGUCCAAACAGAGGAUCUGAUCUAUUGUCCUGGGUGG